rnacentral:rRNA from 1 species
AUUGAACGCUGGCGGCAUGCUUUACACAUGCAAGUCGAACGGUAACAGGCCGCAAGGUGCUGACGAGUGGCGAACGGGUGAGUAAUGCAUCGGAACGUGCCCAGUCGUGGGGGAUAACUACUCGAAAGAGUAGCUAAUACCGCAUACGAUCUAUGGAUGAAAGCGGGGGACCGUAAGGCCUCGCGCGAUUGGAGCGGCCGAUGUCAGAUUAGGUAGUUGGUGGGGUAAAGGCUUACCAAGCCAACGAUCUGUAGCUGGUCUGAGAGGACGACCAGCCACACUGGGACUGAGACACGGCCCAGACUCCUACGGGAGGCAGCAGUGGGGAAUUUUGGACAAUGGGCGCAAGCCUGAUCCAGCAAUGCCACGUGCAGGAAGAAGGCCUUCGGGUUGUAAACUGCUUUUGUACGGAACGAAACGGCUCUGGUUAAUACCCGGGGCUAAUGACGGUACCGUAAGAAUAAGCACCGGCUAACUACGUG